rnacentral:tRNA from 1 species
GGGCGUAUAGCUCAGCGGGAGAGCACCUCGUUGACAUCGAGGGGGUCACAGGUUCAAUCCCUGUCGCGUCCACCA